rnacentral:tRNA from 1 species
AUUCAAGUAGCUUAAUAUAGAGCAUAACACUGAAGAUGUUAAGGUAAUUGAAUAAUUCUUGGAUG